rnacentral:rRNA from 1 species
AUGGGUGCUUGCGCGCCGCCGAGCUUCGAGUCGACGGUGCCGCAGCGUCCGCGCCGCUGCCGGAGCGCGUGCGCUCGCCGCCACUGCAACCAAACACCGCUGCAGCACCCAACGUCCGCCUCCACCACCACCGGUCCACGGCGUCCCCGCUGCCGCCGGAUUGCCUUCGCCACUGCAGCAGGAUCCUGCGUCCGCUGUGGCCGCGCUGUGACGACGCCUGGCGCUCGUUCUUCUGGUAGCCAACGGCAUAGCGCACGGGAGAGACUCUCCGAAACAAGCAAAAAUCCGACGAACCAAGCGCAGCAUAUACAUGUGGGAAUAUCCGGUUGUAUUUUACAAAUCUCCUGUAAUAUACUACCUCCGUAA